rfam:Pan troglodytes isolate Yerkes chimp pedigree #C0471 (Clint) chromosome 2B, whole genome shotgun sequence.
GCCGGGCGUGGUGGCGCAUGCCUGUAAUCCCAGCUACUCAGGAGGCUGAGGCAGGAGAAUCACUUGAACCCGGGAGGGGGAGGUUGCAGUGAGCUGAGAUGGUGCCACUGCACUCCAGCCUGGGUGACAGAGUGAGACUCCGUCUCAA